UUGUAUGAUACUGUACCUAAUACACAUACAAGGUUUGCUUCUAUACAGCUUAUUUCUUCUUGGUGCUACUUGGCGUCAUUUUCAAAUUACCAUAGAAAUUUAAUUUUGGUGCAAGAUGAUCAUGAACUGUGCGACCAAAGAGAUUAUAUAUCAAAUAUGUUUUUAAUUGUUACUCCACUUUUGUAACAUAGAUUACUUUAAACAAAUCUGUACAAUUAAUUUUGUAAAGCUGCAGUACAAUGAUUUUAGACUUUGACUUUGUUUGUACAAUGUUAACUUUGAACUGAUUAACUACAAACCUAGUACAAGUGUAGAAUUUCAGGUUUCGUAACUCUGUUCCGUCCCAAAACUAAUGUUAAACUGUUGUCAUAAAGUUGUAUUUCUACCUGAUCUACUGUAUGCUGUACUAAGAUAAGGUAGUGGAAGUACAAAGACUAUUCUAUGAAUUGAACAUGAUGCAAUACUAAAGGUAAUGAUACUAAUCUAACAGAAUAAAUUUUAGACAUUUCUGCAUUCUAGAUAGAAGAUAAGAGUGCCAGGUUUUAUUUCGUUUUUGUACAUUCUGUUAGGGAAAAUAAAAUUGCCAGUUGUUCAUUUGUGAAUAUGUAUUAAAGAUGAGGACUUGAAAAGCAUUGUUGGUGGUAUAGCAUGAUCUCAACUUUUUCGGCUUCCUGAUUGGUUCAGGACCUGAUGAGUUCAGUUGAACUCAAAUCGAACUCUGACCUACAUUUUGUUAGAGAUUUUUUUGUGAGGAUUUAGUGCUCUUCAUUUGUUUUUGGUGCAUAUUUUGUUAAGACUUUGUCUGUACCUCAAGACAUACUUGCUGAAUUGAGAAGAUCUGGGGAACAUUCCAUGCCGAGUGGUAACAUCAACGAAUGUGACACAGGGCAGCAGAUUUCCAGGGAUCCUUUCAAAAGCUUUCGUGAAUUAUGCAGGUGUUAUGUUUUUCCUCUGUAACUAAAAUCAGUAUCAAAUUUGUCGUUAUUAAAUGAGUUUGAAAACU
rnacentral:misc_RNA from 1 species